UACGUAGGGGGCAAGCGUUGUCCGGAUUUAUUGGGCGUAAAGAGCUCGUAGGCGGUUCGGUAAGUCAGGUGUGAAAACUCGAGGCUCAACCUCGAGACGCCACCUGAUACUGCUGUGACUAGAGUCCGGUAGAGGAGUGUGGAAUUCCUGGUGUAGCGGUGAAAUGCGCAGAUAUCAGGAGGAACACCAGCGGCGAAGGCGGCACUCUGGGCCGGUACUGACGCUGAGGAGCGAAAGCAUGGGGAGCAAACAGG
rnacentral:rRNA from 1 species